GUCUUUCACAUAGCUGUACAUGGGGUACAUGAGAGCGUCUCUUAUGUUGGAGUGAUCCAGGCCAAGGGCAUGUCCAAACUCAUGGGCUGCCACCAGGAAGAGACUGUAACCUGAAGCACAUACAGGUCCAGUACUCAUCCUCAUCAAAGUGCGCGUCACCCUGCACACCUUCGCCAGGGGGAUAAGCAUGGGCCAGAAGACCAUCCUUACCAUCAAAUGGUUGGCCACAUCAGGAACCCCGCAGCGAGGCUGCUUCAUGGCAUCCAGGGUGGACUUAUCCAGCUCUCCAGUCUCCUCCAGCCCCAUCUGCCUCUGCAUCCUCUUCAAAGCCUUGGUGGUUGACACCAUAGACUGGAAGCCACUGCGGUGCAGCGUGUCAAUGUAGCCAAACUUCUUCAGAUAACCCUGACAGGAGAACAUGAGAAAUCACAUGAUCUAAUGAGUCCAGAUGGAUAAUUAUAUCAGAAUGGGUCCUUAUGAAGUAAACUUUAGUUUGGAAAACAAAUUCAAUUCUAUUCUAGUGUUUUCGUGACACCUGUUCUCACUGUUACACUGCUACUCGUGUAGCUUAAAUUCAGCAGAAACUAAUUUUUUUCUCAUUAACAUUAUGACAGAGAUAUGUGUUC